UGAGAAAACCGAGGCAGAAGGCCUAGACGUUUACCGAAGCCCCCAGCAAGUCAGCGGCAGAGCCCAGAUUGCCCAGGACGCCUGGAAAUCUGGCGAGGGGCUAAAACCGGCACAAGACCUUCCUUAGUCUGAAAAGGGACCCAGGCAGCCCGGAGGAUCCCCACCCCCGAGACUGACUACAGUCACAGAGAACCAGAGAGAAAAACACAAGUGACCCCACUGAGGCUGCAGAGGCAACGGGGGCUUCCGGGACAAACAAUGGCCCUCUGUGUCUGGUUUCUCCUGAGGCCCGGAAGCGCUGGUGCGUGGCACACCGAUGAGUCAUGCAGGAUAUCUCCCCGGCCUGCUUUGUUGUGCCCAAAAAUUGCUCCCCCGACCUGAAAGGGCAGAUGAUGUCAUCGGCUGCUCUGGGGAAGCCCUGUCACUGGACAGUCCCAGGAAUGUCGCCUCCCACUAACAGCUCCCAGUCCAGGUCCCCGGCCUUGAGAGAGUUCCCGGAGAUGGGGGGUGGGUGCUAGGCAGAGAGAGCCAGCUAGGAGGAAUAGACCCUCAUGGAGUCCAGGGAAACCCCUGCUUUGUUCCCUCUGGACGCAGUGCGUGUGUGCUGGCUGCCCAGCCUCAGCUGUGUCCUGUGGAGUUUCCUGGACUCACGAGAAGCCCCGGACAAGUGUAUUAGGGGCAUCCCAGGGAGGGCCGACCAAGACUGGCAGGAAGCCGAGGGAUGGAGCGGUCACCGAAACCUAGCUUGGACUGUGCGGCCUGGGAGGGAAUGAGGACGGACUUUCCACUUGGCUGGAUUUGACAGAGAUUUCAGAAACAAAAGUCACGUGAUACUGAGGCCAUUUCGAUUUUCGGAACUUGGACAUUGCUGCCAUUUUCAGUUGUUUAAAGUAUAUCCCACUGGAUGGUCCAGAGUGUGGCUCCAGAGUCACACAGCCACACACCCACUGACUGCAUGGCCUUGAGCAAGUUACUUUACCUCUCUGAACCUUGGUUUCGUCCUCUAUAAAAUGGGAUGGUGGUACUGCUCCUAAGGCUGUGUGGGCAUGCAGAAGUUUACUACGCCAGCUGCCUAGCCAUGGCCAGCCCUAGGUAAAUGAUGGUCUCCUCUCUUCCCUUCAUUCCCCUAGAGCUUGGAUGGGGCUCUUAGUUGGGCUUCUAUUCUGGCUCAUCUCCCGGAGACUCAUGGCCUGGACAUAUUCCUUGCACCGCCUACCUUUCCUCCGGAUGCAGGUGGUGAGUGAGGCCACCUGUCAGAUCCUCUGGUGAAAGAACCGCCCCAGUCAAUCAGAAGCCCAAGAAUGAUGUCAUCGCCACCUUCUGCUGGGGUUCCACAUCUGGCUGGUUACCAUGGCGAGCAAUUGCUCAGAGGACAGCCCAAAGAGAAACACUGUAAGGAUGGAAAGUCUAGGCCAGCAGGCCCAGGGGAGAGGCGUGGGAAUCCCAGGGCUCGGCCCCAGAAACCACUGAGACCCAGGCCCCUCCUACACACACUGCAUCUGUCCCACCCCUAGGGCAGCCCCGGAGCAGCUGAGGAGCCACAGAUAGCACGCCAGGACCUGGGCAAGAGAAGCCGUUCUCGAUGGGCGCCUCUCCACCUCUGCCCUGUGCUGCUGUCCUUAGAGCGCUGGCCCUGAUCCGCCUGCCUGUACCCUUGCCAGGGAUCCACAAGUCACCUAAGGGGAAAUGACACGGUGCUGAGUGUUCCCUGUCAGAGGCUGCCAGCCCAGUGGAUCAUCACGAGAAACUACACACGCAAGUCCGCAGUCACCCCUGGCCACAAAAACACCCGACUGUGAAGGGAGUUGAAGAGUCACACUGGAGAGGUUUGAAGACAGAGGCCACGUCGGGGCAGGCCCUGGAAACGUGUUUUCAGGGGGUUCUGCCAUGGCCGGCGUGUGGGUUACUGAGCCGUGUUACGCAGUCUCUGGAAGGCCUGGCCCCACGCAGUCCCAGUGCCAGGACUGUCGCUUGGACAGCGCGCUCCCUCGUGGUCCCCUUCUGCCCACGUGGAGCAGCAGUGGCUCUCAAGAGGCCAUCCAGCCCAGGGUUCAAAAGCCCCGUCAUUUCAGCUUCAGCAACAACCUCAGUCGGUCUGGACCCUGCUUGUGUCCGUCUCCUGCCCAUCUCCACCUCCCGGAGGACCCUCCAGCCACAGAGAAGCACCCUCGCACUUCCCAGAUGGGCCCUCCUUCCGCCCGCAGGUCUUUCUUCCCCAUCGCCCCCUCUGUCCACGUCAGGGCUGUGUUAAAGCCACUGACAUGUCACUGGAAAUGCACGGAGUUGGGAAAAUUGCAUGGACUAGAGCUUCUCUUGGGGAGAACACUGCAUGUGGUUCAAAGGAAGUCUUGGACAAGACACUCAGAGAGGAGUACUCAUCCCAGUGCUCAGCCCAAAGUGUGUCCCCUGGAGUGUUCGUGAUGGCCGCAGGGGCUCUUAACCUGAGUCAGCAGAGGACACCUCAUUACGCCCACACACGGCCUGAGGUGCACGUACUUAGGUGUGCAUGCAGACGAGAAAUGUGUGUGAUGAUUUCAAGCAUCUGACACCAGAUCCAUGCCCUCUCCUGCACCAGACGUGCUCCCCUUUCCGAUGUCCCUGUUCCUGUCCUGGCCCCAGCAGCCUCCUAGCCCCACUCAGCCCACUUGGAGUCUGUCUGCAAAUCCACUUGCACUUUGUCCUCUUCACCCGACUUGUGACUGCCAGCGCCCAAAUUUAGGUUCCAGUUCUGUCUACUCAGGACCCACCCUGCCAGCCAAGCCCGGGAACAGUCAGGUCGUCAGUCCCCAAGCCCAGCUUUCUUCAUGACACCAUUCUGCCUUCCAGACACAGCGGCAGGCCCACUCCUACCCACUGCCCGUCACUGAGGGCCCCUGUGAUGUGGCCCUGUCUGUUCAUCCAGCCUCCCUAAUACACACCCUCUGCUCCGAGCCUACUGGCCUCUUUGUGGCCCUGGCACGGUCCCUGCUCAAUCCCACGCCUGGGCCUCCAUUCCUGACUUUUCUCUACCUGCCGUGUUCUCUCCUCUGCCUCCUGCCCGGCCCACCAAAUCAGUGCCAUCUCCAAGGCCCGGCUCAGCUCCCAUGGACCCCAAGUUACCCUCUCUGGCCAGCACAGCCUCCAUGACUGUGCCCUCCUCUGCACCCUGUGGGCUUGAUUAUUCCACAAAGACAGAGUCUUUAAAGCCUCGGUCUACUUCAUAUAACUAGAGCGCCUACUGUGUGCAGGACACUCAUCUAACCGGGCCCCCAUAGCCAGACUAGCCAUGGCCAGGCUGAAUGUGGACUCUGGGCAUAAAAUCCUCUGGCAUCAGUGUUGCCACAGGGCUGGGGCCUGUGGGGCCACUUGUGUGACACAUGAGUCCAGGCCUGGCCUUCCUGCGGAGGGUCAGAUCUGGAGCUGGAGCUUCAGGCAAGGGGGCUGUCCAGAGACUGUAGACCCCAAACAAAUCAGUGCAGGGAAUUCCCAGGACCACCCGUUCUGGACAUCCUAAUGGGAAAAGACUCAUUAGUGGGAAUUCUGUCCUUGUCAUAUGUUUUCCACUGAACCAAAGGAUGUGACUGAGUAUCCUUUGGUUCUUAGAAAGCAACUGCUUCUACACAGAACAGAAACAGAAACUUCAGCCUGCAUUGUCGCUCUCGUGACAAGUUCUGCUUCCCAGAAGGCAGGAAAGGCCAAAGAAACAGUGUAGACUCUGUGUGAUGGGAUCAGUUUCCAUUUUUGUUGUGGAAUGAAAAAAAAUCCCCGAUUGCAGUGUGUGCCCUGGUCCCACACUGAGGGCACAAUUCAAGGCCUCUGUCUUCUGCAGAAUAUCUGGGGGCAGCAGUAACUGUCAGCUCCUGCUAUGUGCUGGCCACGUUUCAACACGAGGAGUAGGGAAUACUGCCCUACUUGAGAGGAGGUCAUAUGGCCAGGCAGUGGCAGAGCUGGGACACCUACCCAGCCCUGCCCUGCUGUCCAGAGCCUCUAAAAUGAAGCUCACGUCUCAGGGGGUUCCCAGGCCAGUGGGGAGACAAGACAGGGAAGCGUGGAAAGUGAGAUGCUGUGACUCCAGUGGCAGGAGAGUAUGUGCAGGGAAGACUUCUUGGAGGAGGUGAGGUUCUAGCUGUUUCUCUGAGGACAGGAGAAGAAGAAGAAUGGGUAGAGGGAAGAACAGGAGCAAAGACUGAGUGGAGAGAAGCAAGACCUGGAGGAAGAUGGGAUGGGAUAGAUUUCAGGGCCCUCCCAAGUAGCCUGGCAGGAACUUCUUGGUCAGCCCUUUUCGGAAACAAUUAUUUUCUAAUGAGUGGCCCCUCCUUGAGUGCGAGUAAGGGAGCCUAACAGCCACUCACACCUUAAUUACUCAGCUGCUCCCUGGGUGGGUGGGCCUGAGAGAGAGGGUGGCAAUGGCACGGAGGAUACAGAGGAGGCGUGGACCAGGGCCCUGUGUGGAAGAGCAGAGGAAUGCAGAGAUGUGUCUUGGCUUCUUCCACACUGCCCUGCUCCUCAGCUGGUGCUGUGCUGGGGCCUCCAGGGAUGCUGAAAGAGGGGCUCACUCCCUUUGGGGACCUAUAAGGUAGGAGCCGUGAGGCUCGUGGGGAGCCGGGGAGCUGGGCAGCUGGGGACUUUGAGUUGAGGCCAGAUAGCAUCCUGGAGUGUCAGAGCUGCAGGAGGAGGCAGUGGGCCCCUCUUGGCCUUUCCUGACUUUGAGUCAGCUGAUGGCUUCAAAUAAGCCCAGGAGGCUUUGGACUAGAGCUUCUGGGCUGCGGGGUUGACACUGUAGUGUCCAUGUGCUUCCUGCCCCCACACGGCCUCUCUGGGCUGCAGGACUGAGCCAGGUAAACAUCUCGCCAGGCCCCUCACCCUUGGAAUGCGGCCUCAGCUCAGCAAAUGCAUCCCCUGGGAGUAUGAAUAGCAGAACCAGCCCCCAGAAUCCAUUGUUCUUGAAGUUCCAGGGAAACCAAAACAAAUUCCCAACAAUACAGGAGUGAGGACGGAGCGGAGUGUGGAAAGGGCAGAAAGGGCCGGUGGGGCCUUUGUCCUUAGGCAUCCAGACAUUUAUAUUUUCCACAUUAUUGAGUGGGAAAUGGCUCCUUUUAUGCCAACAAUAACAACCACCAUCCCCUCCAUGUUCUCAUUUAAUCCUGGAGAAAACCCAAGCAAGGCCAACAUUAGCAUCCUGUUAUAAAGAUGAGGGGACUGAGGUUCCCAGAGGCCCCGUGACCUCCCCAGGGUGCCAGAGUUAGUAAAUGCUAGAGCUGGGACUCGAACCCAGUGUCUCAGCUUCUUUCCAGUCCAGCUCAGUGGAGCCAGCUGCCCCCAUCCCAGGAUAGGAUUGGACUGCAGGGUCUUGCCUGCUUCCCUUGAGCUUCCCAACGUGGAAUCAGCCGGAUAAGGAAGCAGAUUCUUUUGUGAGGUGGCCAGGAGGCCAGGCUUGCCCAGUACUGCCUGUCCCUGAAUGCUGCCGUGUGAAGGCCUGGUGCCAACUGUGCAGGGCUGGCCAGGCCAUCAUCCUCCCACCAGCCCAGGCUGACUGUGUUCUCUGUCUAUAGCCACACCUUUUCCCAUAACUUCCCACUGAUGUCCGUGUGCUUGGGGGCCUGGGAACGAGGUCUCCCAGAAGCCCUCUCCAAGGCCAGCUCAGCCCUCUCACCAAGCCUGGGGCCUUUGCAAUAGUAGGAAGAAAGUAGCAACAGGUAAACCACUUAGAGAUAAUUAGCAAUUGGUUGUAUCUCCUCCAACACCAAAAGAUUUUUGUGGGCUAAUAUUUUUAGCAGAAAAAGAAAAAUUGCUAAACUCAUAAAUCGUGAUUUUGUGUACUCAUCUAUUUCCAAGAUUCACUGUGAGAUCACUCAGAGCUUGUUCUUUGAUUAUGGCCAUUUAGCAAAUGGAAUUCCAACAGGCUUGCUGGAGUCUCGCAUGCCUUGCAGUUUGCACCAAGAAGCUGUGCGUGACAGCACUUCCAUCUGGCAGAUGGCCUCACUGGAAUGCACUCAGAAGUCUCGAGAACGGAGGCAUAAACAGAAGCAAAAUUAAUCAGUGCAAUUGUUUUCUCUGCCAUGAACAUGACAUGUCUCUGGAUUUUUGAGGGCAGCAUGCACGGGAAGGACCCGGCUUUGCAUUCUCCACGGCUUUCAAAACCAUGUCAGGUGUCCAACAUGCUUUGAUAGCUGACAUUGGUCUUCCUGCUCACUCUCUGUCUCCUCAAAAACCCUGUCUCGGGCCAGGCCGACAUGCAGCGAGCAGAGCCCUGGGCGCCCAUAGAGGCAGCAGUGCUGAGACCCCCCCACCCUGAGGAGCCAGACAUUACUGGCUCUGACUGAAGGCUCUCUGGAAUCUGGUUUUGGUAAUUGUUAUUUUUAUGAGAAAAUUACUUGUUUUUGUUCCUUGCAGAGCAGAAAAAGGAAAACAACUCAAGCCAAUAGCUGAACAGGAAGGGGAAGCCCAUGCCUCCUGUCUAAGGACUGGGAGCUGCGGGUUUGGCGACGCCUCCAGGAGCAAAGGCUGGGAGGCAGUGGCUCCUGCAGCACAGCGCUCUACCCUGAGCUGGUCCUUUUUUGGGAACCUCUGAAUCUUAGGUUUUCAGUCCACAAAAUGGCAACUCAAAACCUGCUGAAAAUAUGGGUCUCAGGAUUAAAAGGGAUGAGACAGGGGUUAUAGGGUCUCCCCGGGAAGAACAAGCUACAAAGCACCCCUCGUGGGGCGACCUGAGGUCCCGUGGGUGGGGCGGGACUCCCAAGCUUGAAGAGGAGAGGGUUUUUCUGUGGGAAAGGUGAGGUUGGGGAAGGCCAGACAGGAUCCUGGACAUGCCAGACCUGCCUUCUCAGGACCCCAGGGCCCGGCUCCUGGACCUGGCAACACAGGCUGGCCACACCCAAGACAAGGUUUCUCCUUCCAAACCACACCCCCCCACCCCACAUCCUGGCCUGACCUCAGGGACAGAGGGACCUGAUCACUCAGAUUCCUAUUAAACUUCAGGAGCUGGAGCUGCAGAGAGGGAUCUGCGUGUUCACCUACACACCUCACGCUCUGACCCCAGCACCGGGGGAGAGAGGCUUUGGGGCGGGGCUGUCCUUCUGUCUGGGGCUCAGGAAGUGAGGGAAUGGGGGAGCGCUGGCCAGGAUGCUGCUCCUGGUGAGAUGGCUCUGAAUACGGGUAAGUCCCUGAGGAGAGGGACCUGAUGGGGCCUCGGCCCUGCUACCCUGUGUUAGAUUCUUAUGGUCACUGUAACCAAUUACCACAAACCUGAUGAUUUUAAACAACAGACCUUUAUUCUCUCACAGUUCUGAAGGCCAGAAGUCCCCAGUUGCUUUCACUGGGCUGAGAUCAAGGUGUGGGCAGGCCAGCACUCUCCCCAGAGGCCCUGGGGGACAAUCUGUUCCUUUGGUCUUCCAACUCCUGGUGGCUGCCAGCAUUGCUUGGCUUGUAACCCCACGACUCGAAUCUUCAGAUCUCUCUCUGCUCUGUCUUCACAUCGGCUCCUCCUCCUCUGUGUCAGACCUCCCUCCGCCUCUCUCCUAUAAGGAUGCCUGUGAUGGCAUUUAGGGCCCACCCGGAUAAUCCAGGAGAGUCUCUGCAUCUCAAAAUCCUUCACUUAAUCACAUCUGUCAAGACUCUCUUUCCAAACACGGUAACUGUAUUAGUUUCCCAGGGCUGCCACAACAAAUUAGCACAAAUGUGUUGGCUCAAGACAACAGAAAUGUGUUCUCUCACAGUUUGAGGAUGGAAGUCUGAAAUCAAGGUGUCAGCAGAGCCAAGCUCCUUCCAGAGGCUCUUGGGGAGAAUCCUUCCUGGCCUCCUCCAGCUUCUGGUGGCUCCUGGCAUUCCUUGGCUUAUGGCAGCAUCACUCCAGUCUCUGCCUCCAUCUUCACACGGGCUUCUUCUUUGUGUAUCAAACCUCCUUUCUCUUAUCAGGACUUAGGCCCACCCUAAAUGCAGGAUAAUCUCAAGUUGAGAUCCCUAACUUAACUAUAUCUGCAGAGACCCUAUUUCCAGAUAAGGUCACGUUCCCAGGAACCAGAGAUGAGGACUUGGACAUUGGCCAUUUACUGAGGACCUUCUAUGUUCCAGGUAAUUUUCCUCAUUAUAUCAUUUAAUCCUCAUAAUAGUUCUGACCUUCUAACUGAUGAAGAUACUGAAGCUCAAAGAGCUUUAGCAACGAGACCCGGCUGUCACGGCUACUAAGUGAUGGAACCAAAGUAAGAACUCAGGUUGGCUAGAGGAGAAGCUCCUCGGUUUUUUCACACCAUCAUGAUGUCUCUCCUUGUGACAAAUUUAGAGUUCUAAAUCACAGGCAUAGGGUGGAGCAGGGUUGGGGAUAUCACUGCAAAGUCUGAAGGCUACCCCAAGACCUGAAUCAGGAGUCUAUGUAGCCCCAGGGCUGGGUCAUGGAUGGCAGGGCACAGCGGAGGGGGUUCUGAUGGGCAUGGAGGUGUUCAAGAAAGAAUUACCGUGACAUUUGGUAAAGGACAGUAAAGCAGACUUUAUUCAGGGCGACAGUCACAAUAGGUACAGGGGCCAUUGCAGUGGGGUUUUGCAGUAGGGCAGAGAGUUUGGGCCCAUCUCCAAAUACAAGGAAAAGUGGGAAUUGAUAGCCAAGGAGUGGGGUGAGGGGGUGUCAGUGGAUGGAAAAUUACCAGGAGGAAGCAUCAGGGGUGAGGGAGGUUCUGGCUAAUCCCACCUGACAGGAUUCUUGCUGAAGGCAGGCGGGGGUGAUCCCACAUCACCUGGGGGCUGGUGGGGGAUGAGCAACCCGAUCAGAUACCGAGGGGCAUCAGAUAUCAAGGAUGGGGGAUUCUGGCAAAAGUGACUUAGUGGGAUUCUUGCUAAAACUGGACAAUGCAGAGAUGAACACAGAGGCCCAAAAGCCAGGCCUAGGUGAGAAGAGAGUUUAGAAGCGCCUGAGGAGAGUUUGGUCAAGAAGAGAAUCAGUCAGAGGAGAAGCGGCUUCCGUCUGGAAACCUCGGUGUUCUGAGCUGGAGGGAGGCAGCCGAGUCCAGAAAGAGCCUGAGGGGAGCCACGGAAGUUGGCAGCAGAGCCAGGCCUGAGCUCUGCUUCCCAGGCCUCUCCCGGGGGCUGCGCUGCCCCCUCAGGGACGGGCCUCAGCUGGGGUCUAUGAAGCGGUCUUAGGUCUACAGUCCCAUUCUCCUCAGCUGCUCUGGCCUGCUGGAAGAGGAGACAGGCAGAUGGGACCACGUGACUUAGUGUUCAGUGCCAGUCCCCCAGGAGUGGCACUGGGGAGGUGGCGGGCUCCAUUUCAAGCACAUGAAUUGACACCUGCUGUCAGCAUUGGGGUGAGCUUCCAGCUUUGCCUGGGGACCCAGGGACGUGGCAGGGUUCGCUGCCCCCAGGGCACUCAAGAUGGCUCCAUAGAAAGACUCCCUCCUGAGGUUUCGGGGCAGGUGGGCUCGAGGCAGGAUCACGGGAGUCUUUGUGGGCCAGGACGAGGAUCAGAGGGGCGGAAGCAGGCUGGGAGGGUCUCUGCUGACUUUUCUCCUCAGCAGGAGGAGGUCCUAGGGGUUCAAAGGACCCUGUUUUUUCCCAGUCUGUGGCGCCAGUCCCAGUUUGGCAACUGACCCUUGGGGAGAACCAGGGCAGUGAAGUUGGAAUAGCUCAGGCACAGGAAAAAGGACACAAAGGCGAACAAUGUGGGGAGUGUUCAGCAGGAAGAGAUGGGAACAGCAGGCCAGCUGCUGGGCAGGCCUCAGGCUCCAGGAGUCUGGGAGUGCACAAGUGACCCAAGUCCCAAGUGACCAAGUGCACAAGUGGGGCCCAGGCGGUGCCAGGAGGGGAGGGGGCCCCGACCUAGAGGUGGAAAAACACAGAGAGAGCAGGGGAAGGGGAAGGCCUGAGAAAGGGGGGUGAGCUGAGGAAGGGGCUUCCGGUGUGAAGGGCUGAGGAACAGCCACCUCCAGUCAGGCCGGAGGUUUCAUCUUUAUUAAGGGGCAGUGAUUCUUGUCUGUUCUCACCCAGGCUGACUUAGCAGCUUCCAGCCCUUGCUGCUUGCAAGGCCUGCGCUGGAGGCAGUAUAGAGAGCAGGGGACAGGGUGCUGGUCCCUAGAUCCUGGGCCCUCUCCAGGGCCUCGCUGCUCCUGUCACUCACCCUGAAUCCUGCCAUCCUUCCUAGCCCUCCCGUGACUCUUUAGGGUGCAAUCCAAGCCCCAGCUGCCAUCCGAGGCCUUCUGGGCUCUGCCUGCUGCCCUCCCCAUCUUCCCGCCCUCCACCCCUCCAGCUCAGAGCUGCUGGCUUCCCAGCCCCCAGGCUUUUGCCCGUCUUGCUCCCCUUUCUCAAACACCAUUUCUUCUCUCCUCCACCAUCAGAAGCCUCCUAACCUCUGGGGACUCCGUUCAGGCAUUGCCUCCCCUGGGAAGCCCGCCCUGCUCUCUCAGCCUGGGCAGCCCCCAAUGCCCUCCAUGGCAAGCCCAGAAACACUGUAACGGAAGGAGACAGUUACCCAUCUCUCCCCUGCCAUCCUGAGCUCCUGAGGCCACAGUGGCGUCUCUCUGAGUCUUUACCCAGCCGGGACCAAGCUGGGCCAUGCUGAGAGCAGGUGUCCACAGAGCGUUUCUGGAUGAAUGAGCUGGAGAGCUCAGGGUCAGCGACCUGGGGGGAAUCUUUCAGAGGUGGUGAAUGGAAGAGAGGCAUUUCGCCUGCUCUAGGGGUCUAGAAAGCUGGAAAAAUACACUCCUCAAGGCUUGUGAUGGAAUGCUUUCUAAUGGCAGCAGGAUUCGGUGUCUCAGAUUCAGGUGUCUCAGCCAGAAACGCAGGGAGAAAGUCCCUUUCGAACACUGCCGGGAGGCAGGUGCUAGGGCGGGAGGAGUGGGCCGAGGGUCAGGAGCCCUGGAGGAGUCUGCGGCCAGGGAGCAGGGCUGUGGGACUGAUUCGGGGGGGCUAGGGGCAGCCCCUCUCGUAAAGGGUCAACUUUUGGCUUUCCUCCCCCACGUUGAGACCAGAAAGGUCUUAGACCGAAGACGGACUUAGAGGCAGGGUUGCCAGGUAAAAUAUAGGUUAAAUUUGAAUUUCAGAUAAAUGAAUAAAUUUUUUAGUCUAAGUCCAUCCUAAAUAUUGCAUGUGACAUACUUAGACUGAAACAAUCAUUUGUUGUUGAUCUGAGAUUCAAUUUAGCCAGGCGUCCCAAGUUUUAAUUUACCAAAUUGGACUACCCUAUGCGGGAAUCAGCCUGGUCUGAGGGGCAGGAGGCCCACAGACCCCAUUACAGUAAAAUGUUUCUAAAACAAACACCACCUCCAGCAACUUGCACAGAAAACGAAACAUGUGACUUCCUAAGAAUACAUUAUUGUCUGAAGGUGGAAGUCCGUGGAUUUGAAGGAAAAAACAAAGUUUUCUGCUGAGGAAGAGUGAGUCACAGGCAAGCUGAAAAUGUUUCUCUGGCUUUUGGGGUCAAGUGGACAUGGACCCCCUUUCUCCCUCCUUUGCAAAUCCGUUCACACAUCUUCCCUUGGCAGGGCCCGGGCAGGGCUGGGCUGGGCCCUGACUAAGUCUACCAAGACCCUCCAACCGUGCCACUCCUGGCCACCAGCCCCCCAGGCCCCUGAGGCCCCUCCUGACUCCGCUGACCCUACAGAGGGGCCAUUGUCUCCUAGCCACUGGCCUAGCUCUGCCUGCACCCAUGGAGCUGGGCACUUGGACCCUUAAGGCCAAACUGGGGGCUGAGCUUUAGAGCAGCCAAGAAGGCCCCUUAGGGCACGGAGGCAGGCAGGCACUGAGCCAGCUGCUGAGAGGAUGUGAUGUCCCCAGGGAGGUCUCAGCCCUGAGCGCUGGGGCUCGGAGCUGGAAGAGGCCACCGUGGGCUGUCCGUCUGCCCAUCAGCAGGGGGCUCUUUGAGAGAGGCAGGGUGUCUUAUGGCUCUCCCUCCUAGCCUGUCCCCAGCACAGUGGCUCCCCUGUCCCACAGAGUGUGGAAUGUGUGUUACCUCGGCAACUGCAACCCCAGGCCCUGGGGACAGGCUGCCACAGGACAGGCAGAGAUGUGUGCAGUGUGGCUGGGCCUGGGCCUUCUUCCCUCGCCCCUUGUCUAGUCUGCAUCGGCAGCAGAGGGCCCUGUUAAACCCACAUGUCUGAUCCCAAUGCUCCUCUACUCAAUACCCUGCAGGGGUGCCCGUCUCACCCCAAGUGAGCACGGAGGCCCCCCCAGGGCCAUAGCCCACACUCUGCCCCGUUACCUCCUGACCUCAGCCCCCAGGAGCCUCCCCUGGCCGACCCUCUCUUCCCACGGGGAACUGAACAAGCAGGGCUUCAUACUUGCCAUUCCUUUUUUCUGGAAUGCUCUUCCCCCACAAGGGUCCCCUCCUUCAAGUCUUCCCUCAAACAUCUUCUCUGACCUCCUGACCCGUUAAGAUUGCAGUCCCCUCCCCAUACACCAGCACCACCUUCCUCUGUCUCCCCAGCAAGCUUCACCUUCCGUGAUUUACUUACAUUUGGGGCCGACUGUCCAUCUCCAGCGCUCGACCACAAGGACUGAGAGGGCAGGCAUUCAUGUCUCUUCCUAGGACAGGUGGGGCCCCCAGCAGGUGUGGCUGAGUGGGAGGGGCCCCGUGCACAGAGCAGCCCAGCCCUGGGGGACAGGUGAGGUGGGGACUGGAUCUGCCACCUCACAGGGGGCUGACUGUGCAAUGAGCACCAGGAAGCCCCUUGUAGCCUCCACAGUGGGGAGGAGAGGGGCCCGGACACAUCUUCAGGGUAGCCUUCCACCUCUUAGGGGCCAUCUGUGCGAGCUUGCACCAGUUGAGCUGCUAUAAACUUCAGGCCAGGUCCCACUGGCAUGGAAGGGACACUGGGGAUCCUGAGGAGGGAAGCCCAGCUGCCCACCAUGGAUGGAUGGGGCGAGAGGGCAGGGUCACAGGUCAGGGAGUGACCUUUCUAACUUGGGGUCAGUCGUCCUGGCAAGCUGAGCACAAAGCCAGCCUCUCCUGUCUGCAGGAGGUCGUCUGGCCCCACGACAUUCCAGGCAUUCUUUGGGGUCUUUGUGGCCUAGGUCUGUGUCUGGGGGGAAGUAGAGCUUUGUUUAGUGAGGAAGUGUCUGACUGACUGCAGACCCCUUUGUUUGGCCGCCAGCACAGCCUGCCUUCCUCAGGCCCCACUGUCUGGCCCGGCUGACCAGCUGGGGUGAGGGUGGGGGUGGGGACAGAGGUCCCUGGGGCUGGUUCCCUCCCACUGCCCUGCAGGCACAGAGCCCGUGACGGGCCUUCCUUCUCAGUACCCAGCUGGGCCUGGCCUCAGGUAAGGGGAAGGCUGAGAAUCCCAAACUUCAGCCCCUUAUUCCAGAAGCAGCAUCUUAAAUGGGAUGCAGCCUGGCCUGUGGAGAGAACCCGAACCCAGGGGUCACCCACAUUGGCUUGAAUUCCAAUGCUACUUACCAAGAAGGUGACCUUCUCCCAGUGACAUCAACUCUCCAAAUUUAGUUUUGUAAUCUGUAAAAUGGGCUAAUAAUACUCACCAGACAAUGUUAUUGAGAAGAUUAAAUGAAUAUAUGAUUGUGCCCAGGAUGGUUUCUGGCACAUGCAGGCACCCAAUAAAUGUGAGUUCCACGGUGACAGGCGAUUCUGAGAGGGAGACAGAGCAGGAGAAACCCAAUCCCUGUCUUCAGGGACUCAAGGGGUAGAGGACAGCAAGGAGACCCCCAGGAAGAAGAAAGAGAGACCUGGGACAGCCCCCACAGACCUCACAGAUGCAUGUGGCUGCCCGUGAGGGUGAGGGGCCCAUGCCAGGAGGUGGGCAUGCUCCAUCUUGUCAUCCUAGACCAAGAGCUGGGGGCACGUGAGGCCCCACAUGCCUCGGAGAGCACUCCAGCAGAUGGGGCAGGAACACAGAGAGCUGGGGGGUUACCCUGCUCUGGUCCACAUGCCCCAGAUCCCUGGGCUGUUCAGAGGCCAGACCGGGAAGGAGGGACUCACCUGCCCAAGGAGGUCAGCCGGGUACCUGACUCUCUGAGAGGCCUACGCAGGUGCCAUGGGGGCCACAGAUGGUGAGGGGUGCAGGGGCAGUUCCCAGGAAGCAGCUACAACUCAACCCCAGGGGGAGCAAGUCUGGCCACCACAGGAAGAGCUCCCUGAGGAGUGAGCUUCCGGGCAGCGGUGGAAGGGGCAGAGCUGCUGAGUGUGGCCAGGGGGCUGCAGAGAGUCCCUGCCCUGGGCAAUAGGCUGCAUCCAGCCCUGAGGGUCCGGAGUUCCUGGAGGGGCAGCAGGAGCAUUUACUAGCUGCAUCCUUGGCGAGUUCGCUAAGCUCUUCCUUCAUUCGUGAAAUAGGAUCUUCAUGACCGCCGUGCCAAGUGGCAUCGCAUGCAAAGUUGCUAGCACAGGGCUCCCAUCAACAGACCAGGCUGCUCUCACUUUUCCAUGGAAGCCUGGCCUGUGAGCCCGAGCACCUCACUUCAAGCCCUGGCUCUGCAGCCAGCUCACUGUGUGGCCUUCAGCGCAUCUCUGGCUCUCUCUGGGCUGCCCUCGCUCCCUCUGUGUCCUGAGAGGAGUGACAAAACCCUUCCUGCUCUGACCUGCUUGGUGCCUUUGGCUUGUCCCCAGAGGGUCUUGCUCUUUUCCGGUAGAGCAGGGUCAGAUGUCCUGCAUUCACCUUCCAGUGGGGUAACUGCAGCUGGUAAUAGAUGCACCCCAGCUACAGGGGGUGCUGAGAGUGUCCCCUGGGGCACGGCUGGCUGGCCUGGGGGAGGGAGGCAGGUGCCCAUAACUGCCCAUUCUGGGUGUGUCCCAGCCUGUAGAUGCCUGCCGGAGUCACGUGGUGUGCGACAAAAAGACCAACUCCAUCAAGAUCAAUAAUUGUGGGGAGAGGGCUGACAGGGGCCAGGGUGGUCAGAGGGAUUCCUAGACUGUGUGGCAAGUAGAGGAGUGGCAGGAAGCAAUGGCCUUGGAAAUGUCUGGUCAGUCUUAUGGAGGAGUCAUCACAGCAGGGGUGAGAGCUGGCUGCAGGCCAGGGCAUGCAGCCCUGGAGAAGGGGGCCGCAGGUGAGUGUGCAGUGGUUGCAGGACGCUAAUGUCCAGAAUCCUGAGCUAGGGGUGGCCUUGCCUCCACUUUAAUCCCUAUACACAGCUGGGACUGAGCAGGGGGCUAGCCCUUCUCUGGGCCUCACAGUCUCAGGUCUCUCUGUGGCUAACUGAGCCAGUGGGGGAAAAGGCCCGCCCUUCCCCUGGUGUGAGCACCUGUCCUUGGCUGGACACUGCAGCUCUCUAUCUCCCCACAGAGAAGGCCAGGCCUGCCACUGGGAAGAAGUGGGAGUAGCUGGCUAUCUGGAGCUCCAGCUGUGACGUGAGCCCAAGGUGGGACGGGCCACAGUCCGAGGCUGGGCCUGCUGCUGCCCUCCCUCUCCUCGUCCUGAGCCCCCAAAGAGCAGGGUGGAGCCCCAAUGGAAGUGACACCAUUGAGAAUAGAAGACUAUCCCCAUCUUCAAUUGGGGGUAGAAGUUUGGACAGAGCAGGACGUGCUUUGGGAGAGAAGCGAUGUCAUCGAACUCCAGCAACUAUUUGGUGAAACCCCAGAUGGAUGCUGCCUUCUAGAUCAGAGAUCUAAAACCUUCAUGUGUAUAUGCAUCACCUGGAGGGCCUGUCAAACCACGGAGUCCUGGGCCUGAGCCCGGAGCUUCUGAUUCGGCAGGUCUGGGGUGGGGCCUGAGGUUCUGCGUCUCUCAGAUGCUGGCUGCGGUGCUGACACUGCUGACCCCCCAACCAUGCUGAGGAGCACCGUCUACGUCUUUGUCACUGAGAGCACGGCGCUCGGCCCAGCAGCAAAACACUGCUGGGGAGCGCUUGUUGGAGAUGUAGAAGAUGCCCCUCCUCCAGCUCUGAAUCAGAGUCUGCAUUUUGACCAGAUCCCCGGCGAUUCCCAGGCUCAUUCACCUUCACUGGGCAGUGCAGCAGCACUGUCCGUUAGGACUUUCUGUGACGAUGGGAAUGUUCCAUGCUGGCACUGUCCAAUACACUAGUUACCAGCCACGGGUGACGGUUGAGCAUUGGAAAUAUGGCUAGUGUGACUGGGCAGCUGAAUUUUUUAAAUUCUAUUUAGCUUUAACUAAUUUAAAUAGCCUCAUGUGGCUAGUGGCUUCCGUCUGUCAGCACAGGUCCAGAGUAACCCAGCCCAGAGGGCCCGUAGAGAUUGUCAGUGUGCAGUUGGGGAAAAGGUUCAGAGAGGGAUCAGAACCUGCCUGAGGUCCCUCACUGAGUCAGUGACAGGGUGGGACCAGAACAAUGUCCCUGGGCUCUGAGGCCAGUGUUUUCUCCUCUUCAUGGCACUGCCCCCAUGACCCUGAGCACUGGCCCUGCCUUUCUCUCCAAACCCCACUGUGUGCUACAGCUCUAGGAUUCAGAGUUCACCAGACUCUCAGCAGGCAGCCGGGUGUGAACACUGAGCUUAGCUGUACAAGUGACUGGAGACGUGCCCACUUCUAGUGCCGUAUGUAGCAGUAAGAACUGUUCACCGACCGGGAACAGACGCGCAGUAGGCUGUGUGUGCACAAGCUGGACACUGAGUAUACCACACACUUGAGCACACAAUGAACUUAGGAUAAAGACAACGUUCAGCUUCUCCAUGAUGAGUAAUUAAGGUUAAAUGAAAUCAUGAGGGUGAGGCCUACUCCACUAGGAUUAGUGUCCUUGUAAGAAGAGACGUCUGAGAGCUCACUGGCUCGCUCUCUGCCUUGUGAGGACACAGCAAGAUGGCAGCUGUCUGCAAGCCAGGAAGAGGGUUCUCACCAGAAACCCACCCCGCUGGACCUUGACUUGGACUUGUAGCCUUCAGAACCGUGAGGAAAUACAUUUCCGUUGCUUAAGCCCUGGGUCUGUGGUAUUUUGUUUUGGCGGCCAGAGCCGACUGAGACACAGGGGAAAUUGGUUUGAUUUUAAAAGCUAGAGGAGAACAAGCCACAUCCUAUAACCUUUGCUGUCCCUCCUCCAGGAAGCCAGGGGACCCUGGGACAACCUACCCUCCUCCCCAGCGAGACAGGGGAUCCCACCAACACUCCCCUCCAUAGCUGAGAACUCUGAAAGGGUUGGGGACCUGAUCCUUAACAUAAGCAAGAGUUAGCAGUGUGUGGGACUGGGGAGGGGGCCUGGGGCGGGUAAGACAUUUAAACAGGGGGUGAUGGCUGCGUGGAGAGGAAAAAGACGUGCAGACAGGGACGAGGAAGUUCUGCAGAGGACCUUAAGAUUCGGACCCAAGCAGGUUGGGCCCCCAAGCCCAUAGCACCCCUCUACCCAGCAGACUCUUCCCUGAGAGCCUUGUGGGCCCCACUAAAGAGACUGGAUUCGAAGCCACAGGCCUGGGGUUUGACUGAAGGAGUUUAGACCAGCAGGUUUCUGUGAACGUGUUUAUAUUCCAGACAGAUCACCUGCCAUUCGUGCAGAUGGUAGCUUGUAGCAGGAGAGACUAGAGGCCUAGGACCAGCUAAGAGGCAACAGGGGAGAAGUUCAAGGGCUUAGAUCGGGUCAUUGGCAAUGGAAAUGGAAAGGAGAGGACAGAGAACAGAGACAUGAAGGAAGUAGAAUUAGCAGAACUCAUCCCAGUACUCCAGAAUUCGCAGAACUCCGUGGGAGGCGUGGAGUAGAUGGGGGGCAGGGAGACGGAGGGCAGAGCUGAAGGUGACCCUGAUUUGCGGCGUGGAUCCUGGGUAACAAAGGUGCCACUCAGGAGGGCAAGACGCAGCAAAGCACUGAGGAAGGGGAGGAUGAGUUCAGCUAGAGAAGGUUCAGGUUUGAGGCCUGGGGGCAGUUGGAGGGGUCCAGAAGGCAGGAGCGGUACUGGUCUGGAGCCCCACAGAGCGUGGGAAGGGGGCAGGGGUUUGGGACCCCUGCACGGUACUCAUCUACUAUCCUCAACAGGGCUCCCUCCCUCGGUCCCCAGAGGUCCCUGUGGAUCUGCCCGGGACAGGGGUGAUGCUCUGUGAGCCAACCAGGCCCGAGCACCUCUGCACUCUGUGUGCUCCAGCCAGUGUUGCCGCUGAGAAAACGGGUGGUGCACGGCCUACCUGUCCUCUGAGUUAACCAAGCCUGCCGAGGGCCCACUCGUCUGGUGGCCGGAGAAAGGGAUGAAAUGAGGCCAACGCAGCAGAAGCUCUGCCUCCGUAGAGGCCUCUUCGACGCCUCCACGCUCUGUGAAAAGAGCCCCAUAAAAUGACUCUCCACACAAAUAGAAAGAUUAUUUCUGGAACUAGAGAAAAAGUAAAGUGGCAGGAUAUUGAGGAUCAAAGGAGGGACAGGCUGGUUACCAGCAGCCCCAAGGGGACCAAGGACUGGAGAGUGGGCCAGCCGGGGCCGUGGAGGCAGGUUGGCUCCAGGUGAGGGAGGCCUUGCCAGAGUCCCAGCUGUCCACCCUGCUAUCGACUGCCUGAGAGGUGGUGAGCUCCCCAUCACAGUGAGAGCCCAAGCUAGGACUGGAAAGCAGCUGUUAGAGAGGUUGCAGAGGAGCUCCCAGCCUCAGGAGGAAGGCCCCACAAAGUCUCAGACCCUUCACCUUGAUUUUCCCCAGAUUCAGCCGUUCUUUGAACCUGGUUCCCCCGGCGCGGACAGUUUCCACUUGGCACGUGGAUUUGCCAUCCUAGGGAUCCCUCCCCUCCUGUUCCAGUCCUCCCCGUCCCUCCCAGCUAAUUAAUCACACUGUGCAUGUGCAAUCAAUCACAGGCGUCACUCCUGGGUGGGACCUGACGCUAAGUGGUCCCACAGGCCAGUGCCUCUCAAACUCUGAUGAGCAUAAGAACAACAUGCGGAUCUCAUCCAGCUGGUCUGGGUGGGGCCUGAGAGUCUGCAUCUCCAACAAGCUCCCAGGUGCUGCUGCCGCAGGUCCUGGAACUACCCUUAGAGAAACAAAGUGGUAGCUGCCAGUGAGACCCAUCAGGAUUCUACAACAGGGGGGUGGCGGAGGCGGGGGGCAUUAAGAAGCCCCCGGUGCAGGAUUUCAAAGGAACGGACUCAGUUCUUUCUGAAGCAGAACUAAGUCCAACCCUGCCUCUGUCCAUCCUGGGGACCAUUCCUGGUCUCCCCUGCUUGAGAAGCAUAAACCUGCCAUAGGAGGGCAGCUGCACCACAGCCUGGGGACCCCCGUGUGACCUCCCGGUACCCCCACCUGUCCCUGGUGAACUGCUUCUGUCUAGAGGAGCUCUUUACUGGUUGUGUGGGCUGGCUGAGACCCCAUCACACCAGGGCUCAUUUCAGGGGCAGCCCCGCCCAGCCAGGGCCCUAGACAGAGGAGUCUCCUUCCUCCCCACCCCAGCUGGCUUCUGACCACAGAGGCAGCCUCUGCAGCCCUUCCCUGGGAACCAGUAGGCCUCAGCCUCUGGCCCUUCCCCCUCUGGGCCUCAGUUUCCCCAUCUAUAAUGUGGGGGUAAGCCGAAGGUUCUCUUGGAGGUACCUGGCUCAGCACCCACUGAAUCAGGCUUCUGGGGCUCAGAGCAGGUGGGGAUGGGGCCAUGGAGGACAGGUGAGUGUGAGUGGUGGCGGGGCAGGCGGCUCCAUCAGGAUGCACACGCCUCCACAGCCUCUCUCAGCACUGAGGGUUCUCGGAUAUUUUUAGGAAGGUUGGCACCUCCUGGGCUGUGAUUCAUUAAGGCAGCUGACAAAGAUCAGCAUCUUUCGAAACUGCAGAGAGAAGUUGAGAAG